rnacentral:rRNA from 1 species
ACGCUGGCGGCGUGCCUACNCAUGCAAGUCGAACGAACUCUGGUAUUGAUUGGUGCUUGCAUCAUGAUUUACAUUUGAGUGAGUGGCGAACUGGUGAGUAACACGUGGGAAACCUGCCCAGAAGCGGGGGAUAACACCUGGAAACAGAUGCUAAUACCGCAUAACAACUUGGACCGCAUGGUCCGAGUUUGAAAGAUGGCUUCGGCUAUCACUUUUGGAUGGUCCCGCGGCGUAUUAGCUAGAUGGUGGGGUAACGGCUCACCAUGGCAAUGAUACGUAGCCGACCUGAGAGGGUAAUCGGCCACAUUGGGACUGAGACACGGCCCAAACUCCUACGGGAGGCAGCAGUAGGGAAUCUUCCACAAUGGACGAAAGUCUGAUGGAGCAACGCCGCGUGAGUGAAGAAGGGUUUCGGCUCGUAAAACUCUGUUGUUAAAGAAGAACAUAUCUGAGAGUAACUGUUCAGGUAUUGACGGUAUUUAACCAGAAAGCCACGGCUAACUACGUGCCAGCAGCCGCGGUAAUACGUAGGUGGCAAGCGUUGUCCGGAUUUAUUGGGCGUAAAGCGAGCGCAGGCGGUUUUUUAAGUCUGAUGUGAAAGCCUUCGGCUCAACCGAAGAAGUGCAUCGGAAACUGGGAAAACUUGAGUGCAGAAGANGACAGUGGAACUCCAUGUGUAGCGGUGAAAUGCGUAGAUAUAUGGAAGAACACCANUGGCGAAGGCGGCUGUCUGGUCUGUAACUGACGCUGAGGCUCNAAAGUAUGGGUAGCAAACANGAUUANAUACCCUGGUAGUCCAUACCGUAAACGAUGAAUGCUAAGUGUUGGAGGGUUUCCGCCCUUCAGUGCUGCAGCUAACGCAUUAAGCAUUCCCCCCUGGGGAGUACGGCCGCAAGGCUGAAACUCAAAGGAANUGACGGGGGNCCGCACAAGCGGUGGAGCAUGUGGUUUAAUUNGAAGCUACGCGAAGAACCUUACCAGGUCUUGACAUACUAUGCANAUCUAAGANAUUAGACGUUCCCUUCGGGGANCAUGGAUACAGGUGGUGCAUGGUUGUCGUCAGCUCGUGUCGUGAGAUGUUGGGUUAAGUCCCGCAACGAGCGCAACCCUUAUUAUCAGUUGCCAGCAUUAAGUUGGGCACUCUGGUGAGACUGCCGGUGACAAACCGGAGGAAGGUGGGGAUGACGUCAAAUCAUCAUGCCCCUUAUGACCUGGGCUACACACGUGCUACAAUGGAUGGUACAACGAGUUGCGAACUCGCGAGAGUAAGCUAAUCUCUUAAAGCCAUUCUCAGUUCGGAUUGUAGGCUGCAACUCGCCUACAUGAAGUCGGAAUCGCUAGUAAUCGCGGAUCAGCAUGCCGCGGUGAAUACGUUCCCGGGCCUUGUACACACCGCCCGUCACACCAUGAGAGUUUGUAACACCCAAAGUCGGGGGAGUAACCUUU